AACAUCCUUUUUAUAAUCAUAUCCAGCAACAGCAGAUGUUAAACUAUCAAUAUCCACAAUACUUGCUAAUAAAUGAGAAUUUUAGUUUGAUGAACAUGGUUGGUGCAUCUGGUUGGUCUGACUUACUACAAAAUGUUAUGAAUGGUGGCACUGAACCAAGUAAAAAACCAGGGUAGAAAAGGGUGAUUUCCCAGGUGCAGAUUCUAAUUUUUACAAGCAAAAAUGGUCUUCAGUUGACUAUAAAGGGCGUUUAGACAAUGUUGUCAGUUUGAGAUGCAAAAUUAUUAGUCAAGUCUGAAUUGGCUUGUUUAAUAAGAAAAUAUUGUGUGUAUAAUUUGCGUAAAAUUAAUGUACUAAUG